AGGCAACCACCUUUUUGUGUAAAAAAUUCAAAAGGUAGGUGUUAAUCUGUUCGUAAAGUAAUUUCUUUUGCUCUUCAGACUUAUUGAGAUUCAUAAUCCAUGAAACUGGUCUAGUAACGCACAAGUACAUU